rnacentral:rRNA from 1 species
CCUACGGGAGGCUGCAGUGAGGAAUAUUGGUCAAUGGACGAGAGUCUGAACCAGCCAAGUAGCGUGAAGGAUGACUGUCCCAAGGGUUGUAAACUUCUUUUAUAUGGGAAUAAAAUCUUCCACGUGUGGGUUUUUGUAUGUACCAUAUGAAUAAGCAUCGGCUAACUCCGUGCCAGCAGCCGCGGUAAUACGGAGGAUCCGAGCGUUAUCCGGAUUUAUUGGGUUUAAAGGGUGCGUAGGUGGGUUGUUAAGUCAGUUGUGAAAGUUGCGGGCCAACCCUCAAAGUGCAGUUGAAACUGGCAGUCUUGAGUACAGUAGAGGUGGGCGGAAUGCGUGGUGUAGCGGUGAAAUGCUUAGAUAUCACGAAGAACUCCGAUUGCGAAGGCAGCUCACUGGACUGCAACUGACACUGAGGCACGAAAGUGUGGGUAUCAAACAGGAUUAGAUACCCCGGUAGUC